rnacentral:lncRNA from 1 species
AAGGCAAGAAAAAAACAGAUUGGACUUUAUCAUUGAGAGUUGAAAGCAAGAUGAUCAGAUUCGGUUCAGUAUUUUAGGCCAUCAUAUCAGCCAAUCAAACCAAUAGGGAAAUUAAUCUCAUUCAUCAUAUCAUCUCUCGCUUACUAAAGGCAAAAAUGAUUCUUUUAAAGAAAAAUAUACUAGCAAGUAGAAACACAAUAGUGAGGGCAGAUGCAUCAGAUCUCCAAGGUGAAAAAGAGUGUGACAUCACAGAAAUGACUCAGAUGCAAAUUACCCAUAAACUCAUGUCUCAUCAUCUGCAUCAACCCAUUCUAUCUAAAUUGAUCUAACACUGCUUUUAUCAUUCUGCAACAAACACAAACAUAUCUAUCAACUAUAAAUGCUUUCUCUCCAUAUCACAGAAGGCAGGAUGAUCAGAUUCGGUUCAGUAUGUAGGCCAUCAUGUCAGCUAAUCAAACCAAUAGGGAAAUUAAUCUCAUUCAUCAUCUCAUCUCUCAGACUUGAAAACACAAAACAAAAGAAGAAAUGAGUAGAGCGGAUGCAUCAGAUCUCCAAGGUGAAAAGAGUGUGACAUCACUGAAAUGCCUCAGACGCAAAUUACCCAUAAACUCGUGUCUCCUCAUCUGCAUCAACAACGUUCAUUUUUUAAAGACAUGAAACAGCAAAUUCAACAAGAGAAACUAGACAGACUGGCAAAGUUUUCUACCUUAGAUAAAUCAGUGUGGGGUAUGAUCAGAUAGAGCUAAUACAUGAUUCAUUGGACAUCAUACCAUCCAUCAACAAUGUAAUUAUAUCCUCAUCUCACCCCAAACGAAUCAGAAACAAACAAAACCAAACGAAGAGGGUAUUAUCAGAUACGCAUCAGAUCUCCAAGGUGAAAAGGGUGUGACAUCACUGAAAUGCCUCAGACGCAAAUUACCCAUAAAACUUGUGUCUCAUCAUCUGCAUCAUCAAUAAUCCUCCAAGAAACAAAAGUAAGAACGAAAUACCAUCGCCUAAAAGCUGCUACAUACACACGCUCGUGCGACAUCUGCAUAAUCAUAGCCCUAGUAAUAGUUGCUUAUGUCUGAAG